GCACAUUUAGCACAAUGGCUGAACAUCUAGCAUGCAUGGAUAACUGUUUAAAUCAAUGCGACAAGUAUGGAAUAUCUCUAAAUUCAGAGAAGUAUCAAUUUGGCGUACCAUCAAAGAAGCUAUUGGAACACAUUGUCUCUGUUGAAGGUAUCGCUAUGGAUCCCAAUAAAGUUACUCAUAUAUUGGAUUUACCAAAGCCAGAUACGAUGUGGAGCGUAU
rnacentral:lncRNA from 1 species